rnacentral:rRNA from 1 species
AGUGAACGCUGGCGGUAGGCCUAACACAUGCAAGUCGAACGGCAGCACAGUAAGAGCUUGCUCUUACGGGUGGCGAGUGGCGGACGGGUGAGGAAUACAUCGGAAUCUACUUUUUCGUGGGGGAUAACGUAGGGAAACUUACGCUAAUACCGCAUACGACCUACGGGUGAAAGCAGGGGAUCUUCGGACCUUGCGCGAUUGAAUGAGCCGAUGUCGGAUUAGCUAGUUGGCGGGGUAAAGGCCCACCAAGGCGACGAUCCGUAGCUGGUCUGAGGGGAUGAUCAGCCACACUGGAACUGAGACACGGUCCAGACUCCUACGGGAGGCAGCAGUGGGGAAUAUUGAACAAUGGGCGCAAGCCUGAUCCAGCCAUACCGCGUGGGUGAAGAAGGCCUUCGGGUUGUAAAGCCCUUUUGUUGGGAAAGAAAAGCAGCAGGUUAAUACCCCGCUGUUCUGACGGUACCCAAAGAAUAAGCACCGGCUAACUUCGUG